rnacentral:rRNA from 1 species
UACGUAGGGGGCAAGCGUUGUCCGGAUUUAUUGGGCGUAAAGAGCGUGUAGGCGGCUUUGCAAGUCCGUUGUGAAAACUCGAGGCUCAACCUCGAGACGCCGGUGGAAACUGCAAAGCUAGAGUCCGGAAGAGGAGAGUGGAAUUCCUGGUGUAGCGGUGAAAUGCGUAGAUAUCUGGAGGAACACCUAUUGCGAAGGCAGCUCGCUGGGACGCAACUGACGCUGAGACGCGAAAGCGUGGGGAGCAAACAGG